rnacentral:rRNA from 1 species
AGGAUGAACGCUGGCGGCGUGUCUAAGGCAUGCAAGUCGAAUGGUCUGGUUUCCAGACCAUGGCAAACGGGAGAGUAACACAUUGGUAAUUUACCCCAAAGACGAGAAUAAUCCAGAGAAAUCUGGAAUAAUACUCGAUAUUAUGCAUUGUCGCCUGAUAAUGCAUCAAAGCUCCGGCGCUUUGGGAGAAGCCUAUGGUCUAUCAGCUAGUUGGUGAGGUAAUGGCCCACCAAGGCGACGACGGAUAGCGGGUGUGAGAGCAUGACCCGUCUCACUGGGACUGAGACACUGCCCAGACUCCUACGGGAGGCUGCAGUCAAGAAUAUUCCUCAAUGGCCGAAAGGCUGAAGGAGCGACGCCGCGUGUAUGAUGAAGCCCUUCGGGGUGUAAAAUACUUUUAACCGGGACGAAGUACUGACGGUACCGGUUGAAUAAGGGGCUGCUAACCUCGUG